rnacentral:rRNA from 1 species
UACGGGGGGGCAAGCGUUGUUCGGAAUUACUGGGCGUAAAGGGUUCGUAGGUGGCUUGCUAAGUCAGACGUGAAAUCCCUCAGCUUAACUGGGGAACUGCGUGUGAUACUGGAUGGCUUGGAUUUGGGAGAGGGAUGCGGAAUUCCAGGUGUAGCGGUGAAAUGCGUAGAUAUCUGGAGGAACACCGGUGGCGAAGGCGGCAUCCUGGACCAAUAUUGACGCUGAGGAGCGAAAGCCAGGGGAGCAAACGGG